GAGAAGACAAGUUGUUAGAUGAAAUUCAAAUAUUCUCUAUGUUUGUGUUGUGUAGGUCAAAAAAUAAUAAACAAAGAUGAUAUUGAUUGUGAUGACCAAGAGAUUCAUUUUAAGACACAUCAAUCUUCAUCAUCUUUAAAUAAAAAGGAUAAACAUUAUGGAUUUCCAUUAUCUCAAGCAAACUUUCAAUAUUAUGUGUUGCUUCUCUUAAAUGAGAUAAAAACCCAAGGAUGCAAAAAACUUAAUAUAAAAUAGUGUGAAGAAGAAGUAGUAACUGAAAUUAACAGCAUAAUAAAAUUUGAUAAGUUUGACUCAGCACUUGACAAUGUUUCAUCUAGUAACUCUGUAGUAUCUCUGCAGUUGUAAAUUGCUAAAUACUGAUUUGACAGAUUUUUCUUUUUUUUUAAUUUUCUUUACAAUAUAUAAUUUUUACUACUUAAUUAGGAAUUGUCAGAUUUCCAUUAUUUCUUUCUAUUAGAAACCAAGAGUUCAAAAUAUUAGUGGUAAGAACUGUCAAAAACUUGUGAUAGCUAUGAUGAAGAGAUUUGUGACAAAUUCGCUCAUGGCCAAAUCUAAUAUGGCAGCUGGAAAAGGCAAAGAUCUUUUUAGCCUAACUAAGCUGUACAAUUUAA